rnacentral:rRNA from 1 species
UACAGAGGGGGCAAGCGUUGUUCGGAAUUACUGGGCGUAAAGGGCGCGUAGGCGGCCUUCUAAGUCGAACGUGAAAUCCCUGGGCUCAACCCAGGAACUGCGUCCGAUACUGGGAGGCUUGAAUCCGGGAGGGAUGCGGAAUUCCAGGUGUAGCGGUGAAAUGCGUAGAUAUCUGGAGGAACACCGGUGGCGAAGGCGGCAUCCUGGACCGGUAUUGACGCUGAGUGAGCGAAAGCUAGGGGAGCAAACGGG